rnacentral:rRNA from 1 species
GAUGAACGCUAGCUACAGGCUUAACACAUGCAAGUCGAGGGGCAGCAUGGUCUUAGCUUGCUAAGGCCGAUGGCGACCGGCGCACGGGUGAGUAACACGUAUCCAACCUGCCGUCUACUCUUGGACAGCCUUCUGAAAGGAAGAUUAAUACAAGAUGGCAUCAUGAGUCCGCAUGUUCGCAUGAUUAAAGGUAUUCCGGUAGACGAUGGGGAUGCGUUCCAUUAGAUAGUAGGCGGGGUAACGGCCCACCUAGUCUUCGAUGGAUAGGGGUUCUGAGAGGAAGGUCCCCCACAUUGGAACUGAGACACGGUCCAAACUCCUACGGGAGGCAGCAGUGAGGAAUAUUGGUCAAUGGGCGAGAGCCUGAACCAGCCAAGUAGCGUGAAGGAUGACUGCCCUAUGGGUUGUAAACUUCUUUUAUAAAGGAAUAAAGUCGGGUAUGCAUACCCGUUUGCAUGUACUUUAUGAAUAAGGAUCGGCUAACUCCGUGCCAGCAGCCGCGGUAAUACGGAGGAUCCGAGCGUUAUCCGGAUUUAUUGGGUUUAAAGGGAGCGUAGAUGGAUGUUUAAGUCAGUUGUGAAAGUUUGCGGCUCAACCGUAAAAUUGCAGUUGAUACUGGAUAUCUUGAGUGCAGUUGAGGCAGGCGGAAUUCGUGGUGUAGCGGUGAAAUGCUUAGAUAUCACGAAGAACUCCGAUUGCGAAGGCAGCCUGCUAAGCUGCAACUGACAUUGAGGCUCGAAAGUGUGGGUAUCAAACAGGAUUAGAUACCCUGGUAGUCCACACGGUAAACGAUGAAUACUCGCUGUUUGCGAUAUACAGCAAGCGGCCAAGCGAAAGCGUUAAGUAUUCCACCUGGGGAGUACGCCGGCAACGGUGAAACUCAAAGGAAUUGACGGGGGCCCGCACAAGCGGAGGAACAUGUGGUUUAAUUCGAUGAUACGCGAGGAACCUUACCCGGGCUUAAAUUGCAGAUGAAUUACGGUGAAAGCCGUAAGCCGCAAGGCAUCUGUGAAGGUGCUGCAUGGUUGUCGUCAGCUCGUGCCGUGAGGUGUCGGCUUAAGUGCCAUAACGAGCGCAACCCUUGUUGUCAGUUACUAACAGGUUCCGCUGAGGACUCUGACAAGACUGCCAUCGUAAGAUGUGAGGAAGGUGGGGAUGACGUCAAAUCAGCACGGCCCUUACGUCCGGGGCUACACACGUGUUACAAUGGGGGGUACAGAGGGCCGCUACCACGCGAGUGGAUGCCAAUCCCAAAAACCUCUCUCAGUUCGGACUGGAGUCUGCAACCCGACUCCACGAAGCUGGAUUCGCUAGUAAUCGCGCAUCAGCCACGGCGCGGUGAAUACGUUCCCGGGCCU